UCAACUUGGCGUGAUGGCGUCUCCCUGGCGCGCGGCUCGAGGUCCCCGGCGGUUUACUCCGUCGCGCGGAUUCCUCGGCCGCAGCGCUGGGAGUCAUGCCGGUCUCCGCCUUGUGCAUUUCCCUGUUCCCCCUCUCCUAGUAGGACGCCGUGACCGGCUGUUGAGGGGAGCCCAGGAGCUGGCGGGGGUAGCUGCGCGGACGAGUGUGGGAUUCGCUCCCUGCGUCCGGUCUGUCUGCCCCCCGCCGACUGCGGGCGCUCUCCCCGGCCGAGGAAUGCUGAUGGCGGGAUGCGMGCCCUCGCGGCGCGCCCCGUCCAAGCACGUGCCCACCAAAAAUCUGAUGGGUGCGGGUCGAAAGAGCCCAACGGGCGGCGGCGGGCGGUUGCUGGCCAGCUUCGUGCUUGUCCAGUCUGAUCGCCUCGCUUAGCCGCUGUCGGCCAGGGCGCUGACUCCCGCAUCCACGGGCGCUGGGGGUCGACGGCGAGUAGGUCGGUUUCCCACCCGACCCGUCUUGAAACACGGACCAAGAAGUCUAACGUGUGGGCGAGUCUUCGGGGACCUUGUGAACCCUAUGAAGGCGCAAUAAAAGUGAAGGCUUCCGUGCGCUGCGCUUCGGCGCGGGGCGCGGCGGCUGCAGUGGGAUCCCCGGUCUAAGGGCCGGGGCGCACCACUGGCCCGUCCUACGACCGCUUCGCCGGUCGGGCGGAGCAAGAGCCCACGCGUUGGGACCCGAAAGAUGGUGAACUAUGCCUGGGCAG
rnacentral:rRNA from 1 species